AGAGUUUGAUCCUGGCUCAGGACGAACGCUGGCGGCGUGCCUAAUACAUGCAAGUCGAGCGAAUGACGAGAAGCUUGCUUCUCUGAUUUAGCGGCGGACGGGUGAGUAACACGUGGGCAACCUGCCCUACAGAUCGGGAUAACUCAGGGAAACCUGGGCUAAUACCGAAUAAUCCUUCGAAUCACAUGUUUUGAAGUUGAAAGGCGCUUCGGCGUCACUGUAGGAUGGGCCCGCGGUGCAUUAGCUAGUUGGUGGGGUAACGGCCUACCAAGGCAACGAUGCAUAGCCGACCUGAGAGGGUGAUCGGCCACAUUGGGACUGAGACACGGCCCAAACUCCUACGGGAGGCAGCAGUAGGGAAUCUUCCACAAUGGACGAAAGUCUGAUGGAGCAACGCCGCGUGAGUGAUGAAGGUUUUCGGAUCGUAAAACUCUGUUGUAAGGGAAGAACAAGUACGUUAGGAAAUGAACGUACCUUGACGGUACCUUAUUAGAAAGCCACGGCUAACUACGUGCCAGCAGCCGCGGUAAUACGUAGGUGGCAAGCGUUGUCCGGAUUUAUUGGGCGUAAAGCGCGCGCAGGUGGUUUCUUAAGUCUGAUGUGAAAGCCCACGGCUCAACCGUGGAGGGUCAUUGGAAACUGGGGAACUUGAGUGCAGAAGAGGAUAGUGGAAUUCCAAGUGUAGCGGUGAAAUGCGUAGAGAUUUGGAGGAACACCAGUGGCGAAGGCGACUGUCUGGUCUGUAACUGACACUGAGGCGCGAAAGCGUGGGGAGCAAACAGGAUUAGAUACCCUGGUAGUCCACGCCGUAAAC
rnacentral:rRNA from 1 species